UGAGAUGUUAAAACAAAGAAGAAAGCAGAAAAAUAUUAACAAUAAAUGUUACAUUCUCUUUGGAUAACAAGAGAGGCCACAAACAGAACACAUACUCCAAGUCACUAGGUUACAUUCACAUUCCUGAGAUGAUCCUUCUUCUGGAAAUCCUUGAUGCUGUCAUGUUGGCUGUGAUACUUUAUUAACAAACCUGAAACACUUGUUUGUGUAUUAAACAGCUG